UUUUUUUUUUUUUCAAUCACCAACUCCCAUCAUAGAAAGGGUUGGGAACAGACCCAGAAGAGGAGGGUGCGAGGGAGCAAAACCGCGGGAUAAGGCAAGGGUCUGAAUCGUCUAAUCGCAGAGAAAGGGAGAGUCGAAGCGGGCAGCAAAGCGAAGAAGAUUCUGCAACAUGAAGAACUUUUAAAAAGUAGGCUAAUGGCUGGAAACCUCAAGUGGCUCUGUUACUUGUUAUCAACUAGUGUAUACAGUAAUUGUGGUGGUAUGUGGGUGGAUGAGGAGUAAGUCUAGUAGUUUUAUCAUGCAUUGUCAUUUGGUUUGAGAUACUUAAGAGUGCAUUUGAUGCAUGUGAAUCUCUUCUUGACACUACAAGGCGACUUUGGAAAA